rnacentral:rRNA from 1 species
AUUGAACGCUGGCGGCAGGCCUAACACAUGCAAGUCGAACGGUAACAGGAAGCAGCUUGCUGCUUUGCUGCCGAGUGGCGGACGGGUGAGUAAUGUCUGGGAAACUGCCUGAUGGAGGGGGAUAACUACUGGAAACGGUAGCUAAUACCGCAUAACGUCGCAAGACCAAAGAGGGGGACCUUAGGGCCUCUUGCCAUCGGAUGUGCCCAGAUGGGAUUAGCUAGUAGGUGGGGUAACGGCUCACCUAGGCGACGAUCCCUAGCUGGUCUGAGAGGAUGACCAGCCACACUGGAACUGAGACACGGUCCAGACUCCUACGGGAGGCAGCAGUGGGGAAUAUUGCACAAUGGGCGCAAGCCUGAUGCAGCCAUGCCGCGUGUAUGAAGAAGGCCUUCGGGUUGUAAAGUACUUUCAGCGGGGAGGAAGGGAGUAAAGUUAAUACCUUUGCUCAUUGACGUUACCCGCAGAAGAAGCACCGGCUAACUCCGUG